AGCCUUAGAAAAUGGGAAAAUGAACACGAAUCCUGUCUGCAAAGUUCUACUGUGACUUUGAGCCCUCUCCAAUGGCAGUGGAAGCACAGGCCCCAUGACCUGAAACUCUGAGAUACCCGUGGAGACCUCUACAAUGUGCUGUGAAUACAAACUACCCACUACAUCCUCAUAAUCUCAGGUGUUGGUCACCCCUCUAUUACAUGACUUUGGGAAUUGCCCCUCCGCAUGUCCUCACUACAUUAUGAAUCUGUGUGGAGCCCACUUCAACCUGAAUGUGGCCAGAGGACCAAAUCCGGCUCAGGUCAAGGAAUCCAUGAAGUGAAUGUGAACAGAGCCCCCAUAUACAUUGUGACUUGACCUCUGAAGAACAUGGGGAGCCUGUACAGUGUACAUGUGAGCAGGACCCACACACAACCCCACACUCAGGCAUUUGUGAAGAUCUGAGACACACAGAUGUAAAGAGCGGCCCUCCAUGUCCUGGCAAUCAGGGUAUGUGUGGUCCUUCUACAACAGGAGAGCACAACCAAGGCAGCUCCAUCUUGGUCACAUAUGGAACCCUGUACCACAUGGAAAGGACAGCAGCCCCACUUCCUUCUGACUGGCUCAGAGGUGUGGAAAUCCUCUGCAACAUGGAUGUGACCAGAGCCAUGUUUCAGUGGUGAUGAUCACGUGUGUGGUGCCUCAACAAAGAGGAUGUGAUGAGAGCCACCAACAUCCUCAAUCCCUGAGGCAUGAAAACUAACAUGACCACAACUCCCUGUGUAUCUAGCUCUAAUGUGAUUGUGAUCCCUGUACUAACUGGUUGUCACAUGAGAUGUCCAUGACCUCACUAAGUGGCUGCAGAUGGGUCACUACUGAUAUAAAUGUGAGCAGGGCUUCCUGCAUCCCCUGACCAGUCCUUAUGACCUAAGUCAGGUGGAGACCCUUGUACAAAGUAAACUUGACCUCAACACCCACCAUGUCCCGACCUGCUCAAACUCGUUUGAUGACUUGGGCAAUGGAACUGGAAAUCCAGCCCCAGCCCCAUGGUGUGAAGUCUACCACAAGGUGGUGAGCACAAAAUCCUGUGUCCUGACCAUUUCAGCAGGGUGUGUAGCACUGCACAGUACACAUGUCCACAGGGGCCCUCCAACAUGUCGUGAUGACCUCAGGCACUGGUGGAGCCCCAUAGAAUGUGAAAGUGCACAGAGACUUGCAAAUUCCUGACAAACUUGGGUGUGCAGUUCUUUUACUGAGUCAGCUAGAACAAAGCCCUACAUGUUCUAUGCCUUGCCACCCUGAAGGGAACCCUGUCCAAAGAGAAUAUGUCCAGAGAUGCACCAUUUACUGAGCAUUGCAUGCCUGAGGAAAACCUCGAUAACAUGGCCAUGAGCAGUGCACCCCACCAUGGGGACAAAGCUUCUCCCAAGUGUGGAGCCCUCUUCAAAGUGAAUGUGAAAAGAGCACCCCAUGACCUUGGGAGCUCAGUUGUGGGUGGAACACUGUACACCUGAAAUGUGAGCAGAGCCUCUCCAUGUCCUCACAACCCCUGGCCUCUGUAGAGCCAAGGACAGCGUGGAUGUGACCAGCCUAACCAUGCUAAGCAUCUCAGGGGAUUCAAGCCCUCUGUUGCAAGGAUGCAAUCACCUGAGCUUUCUAAGUCUGCAGCACCUAAGCAGUGGUGGAGCAAUCUGCAUCAUUCAUGUGACCAAUGCUCAACUGGCCUGACCACAUUGGGUAUAUGGAUUCCUCAAUGGUGUGGAUAAGACCAGAGCACCCCAGGUUUGAUCCAUGUUCUGCAUCUACGCACCCCUUAUUAAUGCACCUGUGAAUCGGGCCACAGGUCCUGACAACAUCACUUAUGUGUAGGCCUGCAAAAAGAGAACAUGGAAGAAGAGUGACUCUCCAAGUCCUUAUCCUGCCGGGAAGGUUGGUCCCUAAAAAAUGUGUACGUGAACAGAAAACCAAGCCCUUGACAUGUUGUCUUGAGAACUCUGUUGAGCCUUCCAUACCAUGGAUAGAAACAGAGCUCCCCAUGUCCUGACCACAAACCCUUUCCAUGGAGCUCUGAACAACUUGAAUGAAAGCAGAGUCUGCACACACCACACAUGCCCUGACAAACGGAGACAUGUACAGAGCCCUCCACAAUGGGAAAGUGACCAGAGCCCCACCUUUAUCUUAAGCACCAGAGGUGUGCAAGCAGCCCCUUACAAAGUGGAUGUGAGCAGAGCCUCUUGCCCUCCUGACCAGCUCACGCAUGUGUGGUGCCCUGCACACUGUGAUCGUGACCAGAGCCUCCCCGUGUCCUGACGACCUCAGGCAUUGGUGGUGCCCUGGACAACGUGAGUGUAAUCACAGCCCUGCCACACACUGACACUCCCCUGUACGCGUGCUUCUGAUACACCGGGAAGGUCAGCACACCCCACCCACACUGCACACCUGCAUCAUGCAUGGAGCCCUCUACAUGGUGAACGUGAGAAGAGCCCCACCAUUUCCUGACCCACUCAGAACAUGAACAAAGCAGCCAAUUCCGUCAAUGCCUCAGGCAUGUGAGGAAACCUCUACGAGGGAAAUGCACAGUGUGCCUCCCACACAGACCACUGUGGAGCCCCGUACAACACUCCAUGUGUGCAGUGCCCUGGCAAGUCCGGACUACCUCAGGUAGGGUGGAGCCUGGCCAGGUGAAGAUCAUUUCUCCAAGUAUAGAGCCUUAGACAAUAGGGAGGUGAACACACUUCCCGUGUGCAAACUCAUACUGUGAU
rnacentral:lncRNA from 1 species